rnacentral:rRNA from 1 species
GACGAACGCUGGCGGCGUGCCUAACACAUGCAAGUCGAGCGAGGAGGAGGGAGCUUGCUUCCGAAUCCUAGCGGCGGACGGGUGAGUAACGCGUGAGCAAUCUGCCUCAAACAGGGGGAUAACGCAUCGAAAGAUGUGCUAAUACCGCGUAAGACCACGGCACCGCAUGGUGCAGGGGUCAAAGGAGCAAUCCGGUUUGAGAUGAGCUCGCGUCCGAUUAGCUAGUUGGUGAGAUAACAGCCCACCAAGGCGACGAUCGGUAGCCGACCUGAGAGGGUGAUCGGCCACAUUGGAACUGAGACACGGUCCAG